GUGAGGAAUAUUGGUCAAUGGGCGAGAGCCUGAACCAACCAAGUCGCGUGAAGGAAGAAGGAUCUAUGGUUCGUAAACUUCUUUUGCAGGGGAAUAAAGUGCAGGACGUGUCCUGUUUUGUAUGUACCCUGAGAAUAAGGAUCGGCUAACUCCGUGCCAGCAGCCGCGGUAAUACGGAGGAUCCGAGCGUUAUCCGGAUUUAUUGGGUUUAAAGGGUGCGUAGGUGGUUUGAUAAGUCAGCGGUGAAAGUGUGCAGCUUAACUGUAAAAAUGCCGUUGAAACUGUCGGACUUGAGUGUAAAUGAGGUAGGCGGAAUGCGUGGUGUAGCGGUGAAAUGCAUAGAUAUCACGCAGAACUCCGAUUGCGAAGGCAGCUUACUAAGCUACAACUGACACUGAAGCACGAAAGCGUGGGGAUCAAACAGGAUUAGAUACCCUAGUAGUCC
rnacentral:rRNA from 1 species